rnacentral:misc_RNA from 1 species
AAAAGAACGGAGAACGUAUCCAAGGAUGUCUCUGACGCUUAUCCCUGAUCACUUCCAGCACAUUGUGCGGCUGCUCAACACGAAUGUGGAGGGCAAGCGCAAGGUGCCGUUCGCGCUGCGCAUGGUGAAGGGCGUUGGCAUCCGCUUUGCCUACCUGGUGUGCAAGAAGGCCGGGAUCGACGUGGAGCGCCGCGCGGGCACUCUGACCGCGGAGGAGCUGGAGAAGAUCGCCGAGAUCAUCGCCGACCCCGCGAAGUUCAAGAUCCCGGACUGGUUCCUGAACCGUCAGCGCGACCCCAAGACCGGCAAGACGGAGCACCUGUCCAGCUCGAUGGUGGACACCCGCCUGCGCGAAGACCUUGAGCGUCUGAAGAAGAUUCGCGCGCACCGUGGCGUGCGUCACGCCUACGGCCUCCGCGUGCGCGGCCAGCACACGUGCACGACUGGCCGCCACGGCAAGACGGUCGGCGUCUCUCGCGGCAAGUAAGCUCGGUGAGCGUAAAACGCUCCCUGGGCCCUCUCCUCCUACCUCGACUCCUCGCGUCUUCUUUCUUUUCUCGUGUUACUGCUAUGCGCCACUGUCCCGAGAGAAGAACGUUUCGGUAUGCGGAAUAAGCGCAGCUUGGGGAGCACGCGUUGGUGUGGACGGGAUGGGUGAGGGAGAGGGGAGAGGCGAAGCGCGAUACGUAAAUCGAGUGCGUGGGUCUCUGUGUUGGUCUGCUUCUCUUUGCUUCACAGGUUGUCAUGGAGAGGCUGACUCGAGUACGGACUCGCCGUUGGUGUAUGUGUGUGUGUGCCCGAUCUCUCUCUCUCUCGUUGCUCUUUCACGUGCGUCUUUUCGUUUUUUUUUUUCAUCGUUUCGCGACUCAUCGCUCUGCGUCAUUUUUUUUUUCGUAUUUCCUCCUUAGGAAAAAG